AUACGGAGGAUCCGAGCGUUAUCCGGAUUUAUUGGGUUUAAAGGGAGCGUAGGCGGACGCUUAAGUCAGUUGUGAAAGUUUGCGGCUCAACCGUAAAAUUGCAGUUGAUACUGGGUGUCUUGAGUACAGUAGAGGCAGGCGGAAUUUGUGGGGUAGUGGUGGAAUGCUUAGAUAUCACGAAGAACUCCGAUUGCGAAGGCAGCCUGCUGGACUGUAACUGACGCUGAUGCUCGAAAGUGUGGGUAUCAAACAGGAUUAGAUACCCUGGUAGUCCACACAGUAAACGAUGAAUACUCGCUGUUUGCGAUAUACAGUAAGCGGCCAAGCGAAAGCGUUAAGUAUUCCACCUGGGGAGUACGCCGGCAACGGUGAAACUCAAAUGAAUUGACGGGG
rnacentral:rRNA from 1 species